AUUCCAUGAUGGGGACAUUCUUGAAAGCGCUCCCAUGCUUCUGGAACAGAUUCAUCAUUUUGUUGCUAAAAACUUGUAAUCUUCCCACGGAGAGC
rnacentral:snoRNA from 1 species